GAUGUUUCUUCUUCCAGGUGACAGAAUUUGCACAGGUCAUCAUCUGACUUUGUGAUGGGGACAUUUUGUAGACCAGUUUUCAACUAAAUUACAUAAACCCCUAACGAGGAACGACACAACUCCCAUUCCCAAAAUAUUUAAUGGAAAGGGGGUUAAGUGAUACUUUAUUUUAAAGGACGUUCAACUACCUUUUUAAAAAUGCCACAUACCACAAAAAUAAUAUAAUGUAUUCGGUAUUUUUAAAAAGGUAGUUGAACGAACUUUAAAAUGAGGUAUCACUUAACCCUCCUUUCUAUUACAGAUUUUGGGGUUGUGUUUGCCGCUAGAGGAUAGAUGUAAUUUCGUUGAAAACUGGUCUACAAAAUGUCCACUUCACAAAUAAAUUUAACGUGUUUUUGCAAAUUUUUAAAUUUUCUAUAGGGACCAAAUUAUAGAUGGUAGUAUCUUUUCAAAUUGACACACCGUAUAGGAUUUAAUGCAUUAUUAUAUUCUUAUACUAUAUCAACUACAACAUCAACGAAUAUUUUAUCUUAUCUUGUAAUAAAAUAUCCUAAAACUAAUAUUAUAAGUAAAAACAAAGAGUAACUUAUAACAAAAAUAUUUGAUAUAGUUUACCGCCAAUAAUAUUUUGGUUGUGUACAAGUUACCGCCCGGUUAAUGAAAAACAAAGCAUAACAUCAUAAUAUCUACAUAAAGUUCAUAGGUACUAUAAACGUUUCCGAUUCUUUCUAGAGAAAAUUUAUCGAAAUCAACAAAUAGGUUGAGAAAGAAAUAUGUCAACAUUGUUAUGUAAAUCGAGCAUAUUCUUAAGAAUUUAUUCUACCCAGAUAAACAAGAAGGAAUUGAAAUAAAAAUGGCCAAAUAUCUCUAUCUAACAGGUAUAUACAUACAUAUGGAGAGAUUAUGAUCAAGAACUAAAAAAAGAAUCAUAACAUGAUCAAGAACUAAAAAAAGAGUCAUAAGAUUUAAAAUAGGCGCACUGUUAGAAGCAUUAAUAAAAUAAGUAGAAUAAAUGUAGAAAAGAGUUCUGGAAAAGAAAAUUGUAACCACAUUUACACAAAAAUUCAAUUAAACAAGUUUUCUUCUGAAAAAGUAAAAACAUGAACCAAAAAAUUCACACCAAUAGAAAGCUAUUUUGAGGACAUCUCUGAAGCUUACGACAGAGUUCAAAGAAUUUGAAUACAAAAUUAUUUUCAAGCAAUAAAAAAACCCAGAGAGAUGAGAAGGAAUUAUAAAGAAUACUAGAUACAUAUCAAAUAUAUUUUUAUUGGGAAACUUAAGAUAACUUCGCCGAUUCUUCUCAAAAUUAUAAAACGGGUAGUAGCAGUGGGAACCAUUAUUGUUCUACGUAUUUACAUUCUGGCCAAUAAAACUUAAACUACAGAAUAUCUAAAAACAGAAUGAUUUAAAGUGCAUUAGUUAUAAUUGUACUCCUAUCUUUGCCAAGAGAUAUAUUUUAAGCAAUUGAUACUUUUCUGUUCUAAGAAGUAAAUAUCAGCGUUAAGAGUAAACAGUAGCAUGUCAUCAAUAUUUUUGUUUUUCGAAAGUUCUGUAAACUUUUAACAGUGAGGCAACAGUGCGUCGGUAAUUCGACACUGACAGUGACAUUUAUAGUAUCAAAAUAGUUAUUAAGGUGCCAAGGGUAUUAUAAGGAUAAUAACGCUUGAGGUCAAUGGUGUAUAUACCGAGGGCCUUUCGCCCGAGGGAUAUACGUUGACCGAAAGCCUAUACAUCCUAUAUAUAGGAUAAUACCCGUGGUGCCUUCAACGUUUAAUGCCCGACUAAAUUAUUCUUUAUAUGUAAAAAAUUUGAAUGAAUUUUGAAUAAAUUGGAUAGUUUUAAUUAUACCUAAUAUAUUCUAAUAUAAUAUAUCUAUUAUUCUAGUUCAAUCAGAGAGUGCAACAAGAGUCUAUACCAGUUUCGGGGCUUUUUUUGCGCUUCAUCAGUAGACCCAUAUGCUCUUCUAUCUGUACUUUGACGCGUGCCGUCCCGGAUUGCAACGAACGAAAUAGCUGGGGUGUCGCAGCGACAUCUGCUAA
rnacentral:lncRNA from 1 species